rnacentral:tRNA from 1 species
CGGGUGUGGUGAAAUUGGUAGACACGCUAGAUUUAGGAUCUAGUGCCGCGAGGUGUGUGGGUUCGACUCCCUCCACCCGC